GCAGAAGAAAAAUACAAAGCAACAUAACCAAAAGCACAAAAUUAUAAUUUCAAGUUAUUAUUAUUAUUAUUUUGAAAAAGAAAAUGCGUUUCUUUCUCUGGAGAACCAGAAAACCUUGUGCCUGACAGUUACAUAUAAAACCUAUACUAAAAUCAUAAAGAAACUCUAUGCUUGGUGCAAUUCCAUGUGAGUGAUCUUUUUUUUUUUUUCCAUUACAUCUCUUCUCUAACAAGUCAUGCAAGUUUCAUCAGUUGACUAUCUGGAAAAUAAGUAUUAUACUUCAUAUACAAACUGUUGUGAUAAAUCCAGCCAUAUUUCUUAGUUUUCAACAAAACUAAACUAAGGUGGCGUUUGUUUUUUUGUCUGAAAUCUGAAUAGACCUGAAUUAGUCUGAAUUCUGAAUAGGUCUGAAUGUCUGAAUCUGAAUAAUAUGUUUGUUUUUUCGACUGAAUCUCGAAAAAAAAAAUAUUAAGUUGUUUGUUUUUUUCAACUUAAAAUGCUGAAAAUAUGUACUUUUACAUUUGUAUCCUUAUUAAAUUUGAAUGUCAAAUAAAUAAUAUAUUAAAUACCAUAAUAUUUUAACAUUUAUAAGUAAAACUAUAUUCAAGUGAAUACAUAAUUAUUUUAGAAUUUUAAUAUAUAAAAUACCAUAAAUUUCAAAUUUUAUCAUAUAUAAUAUAAGAAAGAAAAAACAGGGAUGUUUUUAUGUGGGGUAAAUAUCUAUAGGUGAGUUUUGGGAUAGACAUGAAAAAUAAAUUAUAAAACAGGGAUAUUUUUGACAUUAGCAAGUAAUUGACUUAAUUCAGAUCUCUCCAUUAAGUAAAAAGCCAAAAAAAUUAGCUUAUUUUAUUAAGUCAAAAUUAUGUAAAAAGUCUCAUUAAGUUAUAAAAACAAACGCUUCUAAUUAACUUAAUUAAUUAAGUUAAGUCACUUUAAGUCAUUAAGUUAAAAAACAAACGCCACCUAAGAACUUAUACUUAGUUUUCAACAAAACAAAACUAAGAACUUAUUGAAACAAAAUUUACUAACAUUGCCCACAUUUGUUCUGAGUUUUUUAAAAGCAAUUCUACUAAGAAUUACAACCUCUUGAAAAGAACAAGGGUAGGCGGCUACUCUUUUGCUGCCAAAUGACUGGUAUAAGAGAAAAAGACGUUUACAGCAUUACAAGCAUUAAGAUGGAUAUGCAUAGCACAUAAACAGAUUUAGGCAAAAAAUUAAACAAGUAUAUUUCAAAGAUUUAAAUAAAAAAGCCUCACAA
rnacentral:lncRNA from 1 species